AGUUGUAGGGCGUCAGGUGAUAUUAUAUAUAUCAAUUGGAGUGAUUUGUGGAGCGGCAGUGAUCAUCAUCAUGCUGUUGCUGAUUUGGAGAAUCAGGGGGACGAACAAGAGACACGAUACAAUGGAGUCUCAGAUGAAACGUUCCAGCCCUCGUCAUGAUCGACGUGAAGCUUGUGGUGUUGAGCUGAGUGAUCCUGUGUAUGAGAAUGUAAAGAUGGACAGGAAGAGGCCGUAGAAUAUGAGCUUAUACAGAAUAAAGUUUGUAAAACUCGUAUAAAACAGCUCAGAUCUCCUGUUUGGAUGUUAGAUGUCUAAACAAACAUGUAAAGCUUCUUUUGAAACAAUGUGUGAUGUGUAAAGUGCAAUGCAAGUAAAAUGGUGGCAUUUACAGUAAAGGCAGAAGGUCACUUUGUGAAUGUGGAGAAGUUUUUGUCUCUGUGAGUUACAUGGAAAACACAUUUUCAUAUACUGUAAUUUAUUAUAACCAUAUUCAAAGUUAUUCAGCGUAACUCGUUCAGCCUCCAAACUCAACAUUUGCUCUUUGUGUGCUUGUGAUGAAAGCUUCUAUGACAAGGUAUGAACGCUUUUACGUAUUAAUAAACAGUUUGCAAAAUUACAUUUAAAGUCUGUAAAUAUGUAAACACUGAAUGUUGGAAUGAAUGUAUUUUGGUAGCUGAUCUUCAAAAGAAGUUAAAAAUAACACACUUUUAUAGAAG